AUACCGCUGGCACCAUGAUUUAUGGAGGACAAGAAUUUGUUUCCCCCAGUUCUGGAGGCUGAAGGUCAAAGAUCAAGGCACCAGCAUCUGAUGUCCGAUAUGAGCUGCAUCUUCUGGAAUGGAAGAACAGAUUGUUGUGUCCUCACAUGACAGAAGACUUUUCAAACAUUUAGGACAAUUUACUUGGUGAAAGACAAUUCUCUUUAGUUGCUUCAGGGAAUGGAGGGUGUGAUGUUCAUAUAUCUCUUGCAAGCCAUGAUUGCAAUGGAGUUCCUCUCCCACAUACUCCUAUUGCCCCGUACACCAGGGCUAGAGAACAAAACCACGUGACCUUGGACUGAAACCCCUAAAACUGAUACAAAGGAGGUCAAUGAGACAAAAGAAGUCCGUGAACUUUUGUGAUUUAACAGAAUGUCAGCAAGCCAGGUGA